GAACGCCGUAUGAGUUCGAAAGUCUCACGUACGGUGCGGAGGAGGGGAAAAGUUGGAGAUAACAUCAAAGACUUACCUAUUCCUAU
rnacentral:ncRNA from 2 species